rnacentral:rRNA from 1 species
AUUGAACGCUGGCGGCAGGCUUAACACAUGCAAGUCGAACGAUGAUUAUCUAGCUUGCUAGAUAUGAUUAGUGGCGGACGGGUGAGUAACAUUUAGGAAUCUGCCUAGUAGUGGGGGAUAGCUCGGGGAAACUCGAAUUAAUACCGCAUACGACCUACGGGUGAAAGGGGGCGCAAGCUCUUGCUAUUAGAUGAGCCUAAAUCAGAUUAGCUAGUUGGUGGGGUAAAGGCCCACCAAGGCGACGAUCUGUAACUGGUCUGAGAGGAUGAUCAGUCACACCGGAACUGAGACACGGUCCGGACUCCUACGGGAGGCAGCAGUGGGGAAUAUUGGACAAUGGGGGCAACCCUGAUCCAGCCAUGCCGCGUGUGUGAAGAAGGCCUUUUGGUUGUAAAGCACUUUAAGCAGGGAGGAGAGGCUAAUGGUUAAUACCCAUUAGAUUAGACGUUACCUGCAGAAUAAGCACCGGCUAACUCUGUGCCAGCAGCCGCGGUAAUACAGAGGGUGCGAGCGUUAAUCGGAAUUACUGGGCGUAAAGCGAGUGUAGGUGGCUCAUUAAGUCACAUGUGAAAUCCCCGGGCUUAACCUGGGAACUGCAUGUGAUACUGGUGGUGCUAGAAUAUGUGAGAGGGAAGUAGAAUUCCAGGUGUAGCGGUGAAAUGCGUAGAGAUCUGGAGGAAUACCGAUGGCGAAGGCAGCUUCCUGGCAUAAUAUUGACACUGAGAUUCGAAAGCGUGGGUAGCAAACAGGAUUAGAUACCCUGGUAGUCCACGCCGUAAACGAUGUCUACUAGCCGUUGGGGUCCUUGAGACUUCAGUGGCGCAGUUAACGCGAUAAGUAGACCGCCUGGGGAGUACGGCCGCAAGGUUAAAACUCAAAUGAAUUGACGGGGGCCCGCACAAGCGGUGGAGCAUGUGGUUUAAUUCGAUGCAACGCGAAGAACCUUACCUGGUCUUGACAUAGUGAGAAUCCUGCAGAGAUGCGGGAGUGCCUUCGGGAAUUCACAUACAGGUGCUGCAUGGCUGUCGUCAGCUCGUGUCGUGAGAUGUUGGGUUAAGUCCCGCAACGAGCGCAACCCUUUUCCUUAUUUGCCAGCGGGUUAAGCCGGGAACUUUAAGGAUACUGCCAGUGACAAACUGGAGGAAGGCGGGGACGACGUCAAGUCAUCAUGGCCCUUACGACCAGGGCUACACACGUGCUACAAUGGUAGGUACAGAGGGUUGCUACACAGCGAUGUGAUGCUAAUCUCAAAAAGCCUAUCGUAGUCCGGAUUGGAGUCUGCAACUCGACUCCAUGAAGUCGGAAUCGCUAGUAAUCGCAGAUCAGAAUGCUGCGGUGAAAACGUUCCCGGGCCU